rnacentral:rRNA from 1 species
UAGGGAAUCUUCGGCAAUGGACGAAAGUCUGACCGAGCAACGCCGCGCGAGCGAAGAAGGUUUUUGGAUCGUAAAACUCUGUUGUUAGAGAAGAACAAGGACGUUAGUAACUGAACGUCCCCUGACGGUAUCUAACCAGAAAGCCACGGCUAACUACGUGCCAGCAGCCGCGGUAAUACGUAGGUGGCAAGCGCUGUCCGGAUUUAUUGGGAGUAAAGCGAGCGCAGGCGGUUUCUUAAGGCUGAUGUGAAAGCCCCCGGCUCAACCGGGGAGGGUCAUUGGAAACUGGGAGACUUGAGUGCAGAAGAGGAGAGUGGAAUUCCAUGUGUAGCGGUGAAAUGCGUAGAUAUAUGGAGGAACACCAGUGGCAGAGGCGGCUCUCGGGUCUGUAACUGACGCUGAGGCUCGAAAGCGUGGGGAGCAAACAGG